ACAGAUUACGGAUAACAUAGAUAGAACACUCGCCUUCCCCCACCCGAAAUUAAGUUUUAGUUCUUGGCCCACGCGCUUGGAACCGCUGCAAGUCAUUUGUUUACGUUUGGUUUGCUCUUGCAAUAUUAUUUUAACCUAGAAGCUGAAAAUGGACGUUUGUCAUUGAAGUUGUUCAACUAAGUACAAUUCUCGUACGCCGUAGAAAUUCAUUUGAAGAAAAAAAUAUACUUCCAAAUUUCGAGAAUGCCUAGACUAAAGAAAUGUUGUGUACAAGGAUGUACCGAUGAGACAAGUACAAGAAAUCAUUUCCCUCAGAGUAAUUUGGAUUAAUUCAAUAACUGGCUCCAAAUGAUCCAACCAAGAUAUUGGCAACAAUUCAGUAGGCAUCGAAUUUAUGAAGGUUAUUUUGUGUGCCAUUCACAUUUUGAUAAAAAAUAUCAUCUUCCAGGAAGCCAUCGUGGUCUUACUUGCAAUGCCAUACCUACAAUCAGUAUUCCAGGUAAUUUUAUCGAAUUACUCAAUUUUAUUCAUAUUUAAACCCCUUAAAUUUUUGUUCCAUGUGUACUGUCCAAUGGAGCUGUAGUAUAUUCUGGUUUAAACGAUACUAAGAAUUAGGCGUUACAUAGUAUAUAUUUCAGUAAUAGUUAUAGGAUGUAGUAUGUUUCUAGUUUGUUGGUUUUUGAAUUCUGAUGAACAUUUGAUUUUUUGUAGGUACUGUAUGCACUGAUUGAUUCUCUCAAUGUAUCAAAGAUUUGAAAUACACAGCGUAAGUUUUUGAAGGAACCAAUAACCACAAAAUCGGAACAUGAAAUAUUUUGGAAAAAAUCAAUAAAAAUUUUUGAAAACAUGUAUUUCUAUGAUGAAAAAAAACAAAAAAAUGUGGUGGUACCUACCAUAAAAAAUUUUAUUUGGACUUUAAAAGCUUUCGUUUACCUUAAGAGGAGGUUGUUAACUGAAAAAAAUUUCAAGUAUAUCUUGAAUGGUGCUUUCAAUCAAGAUUGCCUUGAAAAUUUUUUCAGUUAUAUCCGAGGGCAUGGUGUAAGGAACACUAAUCCAAAUAUUGGCCAGUUUAUGUCCUCUUUCAAAUGCCUUACUUUGAAUAACUUCAUGUCCUCACAUCACAUUGUUUGGAUAAUCUAAAAUCAUUUGUUUUAUCAAAAUUUCCUUUACCUCAAAAUGUUGUGCUUGAAGAUUUAAAUAUAGUUAUUCCGAAAUUAAUAGUCCUUGAACAAAAAUCAAAAUUUAGUAGAUGUACUUUAGUUUAUAUGUGUGGAUUCAUUUGUAAAAUUUUAUUUGAAGAUAAAUUGAUCAAACAAUGUGAUAAGUGUAAAAAAAAUUUAACCUUUAACAGUGAAGAAUUGGGGGACAUGGAUUUUAUUCAGGUAAGGCAGUAUAAACACGGAAAGUUGACAAAACCUGGGCAAUGUGUAUCAUUUUUAUUUCGGCAUUCUCUAAAUUACCUUUUCUAUAUUAUUCCGCGAAUUUGUGAAAAAAAAAACAUUUCCCUCUAUUUAAAAUCGUUUCUAAUGAAAUAUUUGGACUUCAAAAUUUUAAAUUGUAAUGAACAUAUGUUGGGGGAAAAAGUAUGUGAGACAAUAAUAAGGUGUUCCUUGCACUGGUGGUGCAAGCAGGUAAACGAAAUUAUGAGUGGUACCGACACAAAAUUUUCCAAGUUCCUUCUAACUUCCCCUAGUGAAGAAUUUAUUGAUCCUAUAAAAAUAGGGGCAAAAAGGAUCUUUGAUACAAAGAGAAAAA